rnacentral:rRNA from 1 species
AGCGUACACGGUGGAUGCCCUGGCAGUCAGAGGCGAUGAAGGACGUGCUAAUCUGCGAUAAGCGUCGGUAAGGUGAUAUGAACCGUUAUAACCGGCGAUUUCCGAAUGGGGAAACCCAGUGUGAUUCGUCACACUAUCAUUAACUGAAUCCAUAGGUUAAUGAGGCGAACCGGGGGAACUGAAACAUCUAAGUACCCCGAGGAAAAGAAAUCAACCGAGAUUCCCCCAGUAGCGGCGAGCGAACGGGGAGCAGCCCAGAGCCUGAAUCAGUGUGUGUGUUAGUGGAAGCGUCUGGAAAGGCGCGCGAUACAGGGUGACAGCCCCGUACACAAAAAUGCACAUGCUGUGAGCUCGAUGAGUAGGGCGGGACACGUGGUAUCCUGUCUGAAUAUGGGGGGACCAUCCUCCAAGGCUAAAUACUCCUGACUGACCGAUAGUGAACCAGUACCGUGAGGGAAAGGCGAAAAGAACCCCGGCGAGGGGAGUGAAAAAGAACCUGAAACCGUGUACGUACAAGCAGUGGGAGCACAGAGCAAUCUGUGUGACUGCGUACCUUUUGUAUAAUGGGUCAGCGACUUAUAUUCUGUAGCAAGGUUAACCGAAUAGGGGAGCCGAAGGGAAACCGAGUCUUAACUGGGCGUUAAGUUGCAGGGUAUAGACCCGAAACCCGGUGAUCUAGCCAUGGGCAGGUUGAAGGUUGGGUAACACUAACUGGAGGACCGAACCGACUAAUGUUGAAAAAUUAGCGGAUGACUUGUGGCUGGGGGUGAAAGGCCAAUCAAACCGGGAGAUAGCUGGUUCUCCCCGAAAGCUAUUUAGGUAGCGCCUCGUGAAUUCAUCUCCGGGGGUAGAGCACUGUUUCGGCAAGGGGGUCAUCCCGACUUACCAACCCGAUGCAAACUGCGAAUACCGGAGAAUGUUAUCACGGGAGACACACGGCGGGUGCUAACGUCCGUCGUGAAGAGGGAAACAACCCAGACCGCCAGCUAAGGUCCCAAAGUCAUGGUUAAGUGGGAAACGAUGUGGGAAGGCCCAGACAGCCAGGAUGUUGGCUUAGAAGCAGCCAUCAUUUAAAGAAAGCGUAAUAGCUCACUGGUCGAGUCGGCCUGCGCGGAAGAUGUAACGGGGCUAAACCAUGCACCGAAGCUGCGGCAGCGACACUAUGUGUUGUUGGGUAGGGGAGCGUUCUGUAAGCCUGUGAAGGUGUGCUGUGAGGCAUGCUGGAGGUAUCAGAAGUGCGAAUGCUGACAUAAGUAACGAUAAAGCGGGUGAAAAGCCCGCUCGCCGGAAGACCAAGGGUUCCUGUCCAACGUUAAUCGGGGCAGGGUGAGUCGACCCCUAAGGCGAGGCCGAAAGGCGUAGUCGAUGGGAAACAGGUUAAUAUUCCUGUACUUGGUGUUACUGCGAAGGGGGGACGGAGAAGGCUAUGUUGGCCGGGCGACGGUUGUCCCGGUUUAAGCGUGUAGGCUGGUUUUCCAGGCAAAUCCGGAAAAUCAAGGCUGAGGCGUGAUGACGAGGCACUACGGUGCUGAAGCAACAAAUGCCCUGCUUCCAGGAAAAGCCUCUAAGCAUCAGGUAACAUCAAAUCGUACCCCAAACCGACACAGGUGGUCAGGUAGAGAAUACCAAGGCGCUUGAGAGAACUCGGGUGAAGGAACUAGGCAAAAUGGUGCCGUAACUUCGGGAGAAGGCACGCUGAUAUGUAGGUGAAGUCCCUCGCGGAUGGAGCUGAAAUCAGUCGAAGAUACCAGCUGGCUGCAACUGUUUAUUAAAAACACAGCACUGUGCAAACACGAAAGUGGACGUAUACGGUGUGACGCCUGCCCGGUGCCGGAAGGUUAAUUGAUGGGGUUAGCGCAAGCGAAGCUCUUGAUCGAAGCCCCGGUAAACGGCGGCCGUAACUAUAACGGUCCUAAGGUAGCGAAAUUCCUUGUCGGGUAAGUUCCGACCUGCACGAAUGGCGUAAUGAUGGCCAGGCUGUCUCCACCCGAGACUCAGUGAAAUUGAACUCGCUGUGAAGAUGCAGUGUACCCGCGGCAAGACGGAAAGACCCCGUGAACCUUUACUAUAGCUUGACACUGAACAUUGAGCCUUGAUGUGUAGGAUAGGUGGGAGGCUUUGAAGUGUGGACGCCAGUCUGCAUGGAGCCGACCUUGAAAUACCACCCUUUAAUGUUUGAUGUUCUAACGUUGACCCGUGAUCCGGGUUGCGGACAGUGUCUGGUGGGUAGUUUGACUGGGGCGGUCUCCUCCUAAAGAGUAACGGAGGAGCACGAAGGUUGGCUAAUCCUGGUCGGACAUCAGGAGGUUAGUGCAAUGGCAUAAGCCAGCUUGACUGCGAGCGUGACGGCGCGAGCAGGUGCGAAAGCAGGUCAUAGUGAUCCGGUGGUUCUGAAUGGAAGGGCCAUCGCUCAACGGAUAAAAGGUACUCCGGGGAUAACAGGCUGAUACCGCCCAAGAGUUCAUAUCGACGGCGGUGUUUGGCACCUCGAUGUCGGCUCAUCACAUCCUGGGGCUGAAGUAGGUCCCAAGGGUAUGGCUGUUCGCCAUUUAAAGUGGUACGCGAGCUGGGUUUAGAACGUCGUGAGACAGUUCGGUCCCUAUCUGCCGUGGGCGCUGGAGAACUGAGGGGGGCUGCUCCUAGUACGAGAGGACCGGAGUGGACGCAUCACUGGUGUUCGGGUUGUCAUGCCAAUGGCACUGCCCGGUAGCUAAAUGCGGAAGAGAUAAGUGCUGAAAGCAUCUAAGCACGAAACUUGCCCCGAGAUGAGUUCUCCCUGACUCCUUGA